rnacentral:rRNA from 1 species
GGGCAACCCUGGUGGCGAGUGGCGAACGGGUGAGUAACAUAUCGGAACGUGCCCUGGAGUGGGGGAUAACUAGUCGAAAGAUUAGCUAAUACCGCAUACGAUCUACGGAUGAAAGUGGGGGAUCGCAAGACCUCAUGCUCGUGGAGCGGCCGAUAUCUGAUUAGCUAGUUGGUGGGGUAAAGGCCUACCAAGGCAUCGAUCAGUAGCUGGUCUGAGAGGACGACCAGCCACACUGGGACUGAGACACGGCCCAGACUCCUACGGGAGGCAGCAGUGGGGAAUUUUGGACAAUGGGCGCAAGCCUGAUCCAGCAAUGCCGCGUGAGUGAAGAAGGCCUUCGGGUUGUAAAGCUCUUUUGUCAGGGAAGAAACGGNGGGGGCUAAUAUCCNUUGCUAAUGACGGUACCUGAAGAAUAAGCACCGGCUAACUACGUGCCAGCAGCCGCGGUAAUACGUAGGGUGCAAGCGUUAAUCGGAAUUACUGGGCGUAAAGCGUGCGCAGGCGGUUGUGCAAGACCGAUGUGAAAUCCCCGGGCUUAACCUGGGAAUGGCAUUGGUGACUGCACGGCUAGAGUGUGUCAGAG